rnacentral:lncRNA from 1 species
UUUGAAUAAUACUGAAAAUGAAUAAUUUUCUAAAGACUGAACAUUUAAUUUAAAUUAAAUUCUAGGUAAAGGAAACAGGAAUGAAAGCCCUCAGUUUUGUGUCAUCUAUUCACCAAAAAUGAAGUCCGAUACUUACCAAAGACUGUAGAACCAAAUGCCAAAGUCUUUUAAAGCCAUUUGAACUUCCACUGGAAUAAUCAGCCUCUGUGUUCUUGGUGAGUCUGAAAAACAGAUCCUGCCUUCCGAAACCAUGAAUCCAACACCUGGGAAGACAGCUGAAAGGUAGAUCUCAGAUAUCCUUAUGAUUCAUUCUUUUUGUCUUA